rnacentral:rRNA from 1 species
GAGUUUGAUCCUGGCUCAGGAUGAACGCUAGCGGCAGGCUUAAUACAUGCAAGGCGAAGGGGCAGCAAUGUCACUGUCGUACGGGUGCGUAACGCGUAUGCAACCUACCUUUUACUGGGGGAUAGCCCGGGGAAACCCGGAUUAAUACCGCAUAAUACAUUAGGUCCACCUGGACUUUCUUGUUAAAGAUUUAUUGGUAAAAGAUGGGCAUGCGUUCGAUUAGCUAGUUGGCAGGGUAACGGCCUACCAAGGCAACGAUCGAUAGGGGAGCUGAGAGGUUGAUCCCCCACACGGGCACUGAGAUACGGGCCCGACUCCUACGGGAGGCAGCAGUAGGGAAUAUUGGGCAAUGGAUGCAAGUCUGACCCAGCCAUGCCGCGUGCCGAAAGAAGGCCCUCAGGGUUGUAAACGGCUUUUAUUCGGGAAGAAGAAUAGGGAUGCGUCCUUAUGUGACGGUACCGAAUGAAUAAGCACCGGCUAACUCCGUGCCAGCAGCCGCGGUAAUACGGAGGGUGCGAGCGUUGUCCGGAUUUAUUGGGUUUAAAGGGUGCGUAGGUGGCUGUUUAAGUCAGUGGUGAAAUACAGCCGCUCAACGGUUGAGGUGCCAUUGAUACUGAAUAGCUUGAAAUAAUUGGAGGCUGCCGGAAUGGAUGGUGUAGCGGUGAAAUGCAUAGAUAUCAUCCAGAACACCGAUUGCGAAAGCAGGUGGCUACGAUUUAUUUGACACUGAGGCACGAAAGCAUGGGGAGCAAACAGGAUUAGAUACCCUGGUAGUCCAUGCCGUAAACGAUGAGGUCUCGCUGUUCGUGCCCCCGCAUCAGCGGCUUAGGGAAACCGUUAAGUCCUCCGCCUGGGGGAGUACGCCGUCAACGGUGAAACUCAAAAGAAAUUGACGGGGGUCCGCACAAGUGGUGGAGCAUGUGGUUUUAAUUAGAAUGCUUCACGAGGAACCUUACCUGGUCUAAAUCAGACAGGAAUUAUCCAGAAAAUGGAUAAGCCAGCAAUGUCCAGUUAGAAGGUGGUGGAUGUCAUAAGUCAGCUCGUGUCGUGAGAUGUUGGUUUAA